ACGGGAGGCAGCAGUCGAGGAUCAUUUGCAAUGGGCGAAAGCCUGACAAUGCGACGCUGCGUGGAGGAAGAAGGCCUUCGGGUUGUAAACUCCUGUCAUAAGGGAACAGGCGAGGGUACCCAAUACGUACCUUAGUUGAGUGUACUUUAAGAGGAAGCGACGGCUAACUCUGUGCCAGCAGCCGCGGUAAUACAGAGGUCGCAAGCGUUGUUCGGAUUUACUGGGCGUAAAGGGCGCGUAGGUGGCUAUGCGUGUCGGAUGUGAAAUCUCCGGGCUCAACCCGGAAAGUGCGUCCGAAACUACAUGGCUGGAGUACGGAGGAGGGAAUCGGAAUAUAGGGUGUAGCGGUGAAAUGCGUUGAUAUCCUAUAGAACACCGGAGGCGAAGGCGGAUUCCUUGUACGUCACUGACACUGAGGCGCGAAAGUCGGGGGAGCAAACAGGAUUAGAUACCCUGGUA
rnacentral:rRNA from 1 species